rnacentral:tRNA from 1 species
GGCUCGGAAGCUUAGUUGCUAAAAGCACUUGUCUAGCGUAUAAGGGCCGAGAGUUCAAAUCUCAUCUGAGCUG